UACGUAGGGUGCGAGCGUUGUCCGGAAUUAUUGGGCGUAAAGAGCUCGUAGGCGGUUUGUCGCGUCGGCUGUGAAAACCCGGGGCUCAACUCCGGGCCUGCAGCCGAUACGGGCAGACUAGAGUUCGGCAGGGGAGACUGGAAUUCCUGGUGUAGCGGUGAAAUGCGCAGAUAUCAGGAGGAACACCGGUGGCGAAGGCGGGUCUCUGGGCCGAUACUGACGCUGAGGAGCGAAAGCGUGGGGAGCGAACAGG
rnacentral:rRNA from 1 species